GUAUAGAACGACUCUCGGCAACGGAUAUCUCGGCUCUUGCAUCGAUGAAGAACGUAGCGAAAUGCGAUACUUGGUGUGAAUUGCAGAAUCCCGUGAACCAUCGAGUCUUUGAACGCAAGUUGCGCCCGAAGCCCUUAGGCUGAGGGCACGCCUGCCUGGGUGUCACCAA
rnacentral:rRNA from 1 species